GCCAAGCUCAGUUGCGUGAGCUUGUAACCCAAGUGGGGGCAUUAAAGUGAUAUGGACACUUUGUAGUGUUGCGGGCCUGGUUUGGGUGUACUACUGUUGGCCCGCCCGUUCCAAGUUGCCUAGUGGACUACUUGGGGCCUAUGCGAAAGUUGGGCCUCACGGUCCAUAAUAUGGCAGGCACAGCGUGAGGCUGGCUUAACAGAGCAGCAACAACAGCCCGCUUUCAAAAAAAAAACCGUGCCUGGCGUGCCAAUGGGAACUGCAUGCCCCCAGCCUGCAACAUUUCCGUCGUGCCGGUUUA
rnacentral:SRP_RNA from 1 species